AUCCACGUGCACUACCCCGGCGCGCGGCAGCCCAACCCGCCGCUCAUCCUGCAGCGGCUGCUGGGCCCCUCGGCGGCCGCCGAUAUCCUGCAGCUGAGCAGCAGCCUCCCGCUGCAGAGCCGGGGCCGGGCCCGGCUGCUCGUGGGCAACGACGACGUGCACAUCAUCGCGCGCUCCGACGACGAGCUCCUCGACGACUUCUUCCACGA